ensembl:lncRNA
UCUCUCUUUUUUUUUUUUAAUCUCUACUUCUAGAAAUUGAAGAAGAAAGAAUGCGCGUCCGGGUGUGUUUGCUUUUAAAAAAAAUGUUUUUAACCGAUUCACGAAGCCGAUGUAAACUUUAGCGUCACGUAUUAGACCGUGAUCGUACAACGCCGUCGUAUUUUGCGCAGGCGAUCGGCUUUCGACGCGUUUCCCGUCAACUACGGACGUCGCGUCCAUCGGUUCCACCGUGUUUUCCGACCGACACGGAAACUCAGAGUUUUCCACCUGUAAUUACGACUUUGUUGUGGCGUUUAAUGGUUCCCGUGGCAACACCAGAACAACAACAACAACAACAACAACGAGGUGCUGACAAACUAGAACGUAUAUAGAGGGGCUAAUCGGGGUGAAACGAGACACAGGUGAUAGGACAUGUGCUGAGCUGGGGCUGAUGGGAAGUGUAGUUCAGCUAAUUGGUGAUUAUACAAAAAGUGAGAAAGACCGCAAAUAAAAAAAAAAAAAAAAGAAUCAAAUGGACGAGGAAGGACAACAUAUGAAAGACGCUCUGUGAAACAAACACUGUAAAAUAAAAUGGAUUAAAUAAAAUAUGUGAAAGCGAAAAAAAAACAACAACCAACCAACCGAAAAAAAAACAAAAAACGACCCAUUGGAUUUAAAAAAAAAAGGAAGAAAGAAAGAAAAAAGCUAACGACACGAGCGUACAGAAUAAACAUCGCAGGCUUUCCCACGUCGUCGGCUUUAAUAUGACGCUUAUAAAUUCAUAAAGCAAACCGUCUGAAUAAUUGAACACUUCAGGAGCAAGAAACGUUUAAAUCCCUCGCAGUUAUGUGGAGAAAUGAAACCGCUGAUGUGUUGAGUUCACACAGAGCAUGCUAAUCGGGAAACGGAUGAUGUGCUCGUUGGCUUUCUAACACGCCACGACGCGCAGUAAUAUACGUUUAUUAUCUUCAUAACGUGUAGCGGAGAGAAGCCAUUACAGUCAGGUACGAGGGGAGAGCCGGAAGUUUCUCUAACAUUUUGGUCAUUAAACCAUUAACGAUGUCGUGACCGCGCUCGUCAGUUUGACGUGAUUUCGUUCCUUCUUUUAAAGUUCAUU